rnacentral:rRNA from 1 species
CCUACGGGAGGCUGCAGUGAGGAAUAUUGGUCAAUGGGCGCGAGCCUGAACCAGCCAAGUAGCGUGAAGGAUGACUGCCCUACGGGUUGUAAACUUCUUUUAUAAAGGAAUAAAGUGAGGCACGUGUGCCUGUUUGUAUGUACUUUAUCAUUAACGAUUGGUCAACCCCGGGCCAGCAGCCGGGGUAAUACGGAGGUUCCGAGCGUUAUCCGGAUUUAUUGGGUUUAAAGGGAGCGUAGAUGGGUUGUUAAGCCAGUUGGGAAAGUUUGCGGCUCAACCGUAGAAUUGCAAUUGAUACUGGCAGUCUUGAGUACAGUUGAGGUAGGCGGAAUUCGUGGUGUAGCGGUGAAAUGCUUAGAUAUCACGAAGAACUCCGAUUGCGAAGGCAGCUUACUAAACUGCCACUGACAUUGAGGCUCGAAAGUGUGGGUAUCAAACAGGAUUAGAUACCCUUGUAGUC